GACGAACGCUGGCGGCGCGCCUAACACAUGCAAGUCGAACGAGCGAGAGGAGGUUUACUUUCUCAAGCGAGUGGCGAACGGGUGAGUAACGCGUGAGGAACCUGCCUCAAAGAGGGGGACAACAGUUGGAAACGACUGCUAAUACCGCAUAAGCCCACGACCCGGCAUCGGGUAGAGGGAAAAGGAGCAAUCCGCUUUGAGAUGGCCUCGCGUCCGAUUAGCUAGUUGGUGAGGUAAUGGCCCACCAAGGCGACGAUCGGUAGCCGGACUGAGAGGUUGAACGGCCACAUGGGGACUGAGACACGGCCCAGACUCCUACGGGAGGCAGCAGUGGGGAAUAUUACACAAGGGGGGAAACCCUGAUGCAGCGGCGCCGCGUGGAGGAAGAAGGUCUUCGGAUUGUAAACUCCUGUUGUUGAGGAAGAUAAUGACGGUACUCAACAAGGAAGUGACGGCUAACUACGUG
rnacentral:rRNA from 1 species